GCGCGAGUGGCGGAAUUGGUAGACGCGCUGGCUUGAGGGGCCAGUGGGCAUUGCGCUCGUGGAGGUUCAAGUCCUCUCUCGCGCACCA
rnacentral:tRNA from 2 species